rnacentral:rRNA from 1 species
GAUCCUGGCUCAGGAUGAACGCUAGCUACAGGCUUAACACAUGCAAGUCGAGGGGAAACGACAUCGAAAGCUUGCUUUUGAUGGGCGUCGACCGGCGCACGGGUGAGUAACGCGUAUCCAACCUGCCCACACUUGGGGAUAACCUUGCGAAAGUAAGACUAAUACCCAAUGAUAUCCCACGAAGGCAUCCGAAUGGGAUUAAAGAUUUAUCGGUGAUGGAUGGGGAUGCGUCUGAUUAGCUUGUUGGCGGGGUAACGGCCCACCAAGGCUACGAUCAGUAGGGGUUCUGAGAGGAAGGUCCCCCACAUUGGAACUGAGACACGGUCCAAACUCCUACGGGAGGCAGCAGUGAGGAAUAUUGGUCAAUGGGCGAGAGCCUGAACCAGCCAAGUAGCGUGCAGGACGACGGCCCUAUGGGUUGUAAACUGCUUUUAUAAGGGGAUAAAGUGAGUCUCGUGAGACUUUUUGCAUGUACCUUAUGAAUAAGGACCGGCUAAUUCCGUG